GAGAUAAGAAAGAAAGGAUUUUGCAUGUUCCUGGGAAUCUAGGCACGUUUUCCUUGUACCUGUUAAACGAGACUGCCAGGUAUCACAUGUUUAAAUAUCAGACUAUUUCUAGAACCAUCGGAUUUCCUGGCUCCAUUCCACUCUUAUGCUUCUUCUUGGAGGCAGCUUCACCUCCACUCACAUUCCGGAGAUAAGCAUGAACUUUGGUAAUACGAUGAAGACAUGCUUCUUUCUUCUUCCAUGCCCAGAUUUUUUCUUAAUCCAAAAUAAGUUUUAAAGUGAUUGGGGGAGGUGAGGGGGAAUAUUAAUGAUUUAAAUUUUUACCAAAACCCAUUUACAUUUGGAUGGUUUCACUUUCCACAAAGAAAAGCAACAACCCUGACUCUCCCAAAAAAACAAAACAAAACAAAAUAACAAAAAUAAAGCCAAACAUUAACUACCUCCCCAGCUCCACUGAAAACAAAACCAAAAACAAAACAAAUCAAAGCCUUAAGGAUUUAUGAACCAGGAGAGAGUGCAGCCCUUCUAGACUGAGCUGCAAAGAUGGCCCUGCCUCCAUGCCUUGUUGAACAUGAUGAUGCCCCUGGGAAUGGGAGGUGAUGGUUUUUUACUUCGGCCCUAGUACAGAGUAUGCUCUUGAAGCUGGAUUCCAUCAGCAGGAAAAUCUUGGUCCACUACAGAAGGUUGAACAACAGUGACUUUAACUUCUUGAUGGGUAGAACACAGGGGUUUAGAGCACAUUUGAGCUGGGGGAACUUCAAAUCCUGCCUUCGCAGCUGACUGUGUGACUCCGGAAGAUUACUUAACUCCUGUGGGCCUCAAUUUCCUAAUCUAUUAAAUGGGGAUGGUACUGCUCACUUCAGAGUGCUGUUGUUAAUUUCAGGUGGCCCUGUUCCUUUCACUCAGAAACUUUGAAGCAGGUUCUUACCAAAUGCUCUUUACUGUAUCAGGAGAACA
rnacentral:antisense_RNA from 1 species